CUCGGCCUUUUGAUUAUAAGAUAGAUUUCAAUAUCUACAUUUUAAUAUAUGGUAUGUGGGUCAUAUAUCCACUUUAAUUUUAAUUUUUUUAUGGGGAGGGCCCACAUUAAUUUCAGAUUUAAUUUUUGUAGGGACGGUCCAUCACAAUAGCUUGCCACUAGGCCCUCACGUGUCAUACAGCUAUUGCACUAUACCAUCAAAUAUGAUUGGUGUACCAUCACAACGUACUGACAUUGUACUAGUACAACACACUUGAGCAGAUUCAAGGACUGGCAUAUGAAGGAAUAAACCGCUGGUAGGACCACCAUUGGUGUGUUUGUACAACAACAAUACUUCAACGACGAUGAAGUGACAUGUCUUGAUUUUGUGGAUAUAUUUGAGAUAAACUAGCGAAAUGCGCUAGGCCUCUCUCUUAUCAGCACAUGUGUUCUUUAAGUUUUUACCUUCUCUCUUGUCCACUACUAAAUAAUAUAUAUUCAAUGCCAACUGAAGUUUUCUAACACCUGCUAUGUUUCUUGAAACAUGGAGACCCAACGAUACCAUAAAUAAGGGAUUUAUG
rnacentral:lncRNA from 7 species